rnacentral:rRNA from 1 species
GAAAUCGCACACGGCUCAUUAAACGACAAUCAAAGUAGAGAGACGAAGCGUUUCCGCCUGGAUAACUUAGGUAAUUCUUGAGCUAAUACAAGCCAUAAGUCUCGACUCACGAAGAGACGCGCCUGUCCGUUCAAGAACCAAACAGUCUCUGACUGCUACCCAAGUGAUUUAGGAUAGAUUCGCCUUUCUCAUCGCCUAGUGCGGGAGAAGCUAACUGUCUAAGUGUCACCUAUCAUGUUUCGACUGGUCAACAGUGUUCUCCAGUGCGUUUGACGGGUGACGGGGAAUCAGGGUUCGAUUCCGGAGAGGGAGCCUUAGAGACGGCUACCACAUCUAAGGAAGGCAGCAGGCACGCAAAUUACCCAAUAGACGAAGUCUGAGGUAGUGACGGAAAAUAACAAUAGUAGACUCUUCCGAGGCCUACUAAUUGGAAUGGAUUGAUUUUAAACGUAUCCAUUAGGAUCCAU